UUGUGAUGCCAAUAAGUUCUGAACACUCCCUAUCCCACAACAGGAAGGGAGCGUCACUUGUUGCAUCUACGACCCUAACAAUGACCCUAUGUUAUAUGUUAUUGACCCAUUUU